GUGCCUGCUUCAGCUGCACAUAUGCUGCAUGUGGAACAAUACGGAGAUUAGCAUGGCCCUGCACAAGGAUGGCAGACAACUUUGUGAAGUGUUCCACACUUUG
ensembl:snRNA U6 U6 spliceosomal RNA